CCUACGGGUGGCUGCAGUCGAGAAUCUUCCGCAAUGGACGAAAGUCUGACGGAGCGACGCCGCGUGAUUGAUGAAGUCCUUCGGGACGUAAAUAUCUUUUAUGAGGGAAGCUGUACCUCAUGAAUAAGGGGCUCCUAAUCUCGUGCCAGCAGGAGCGGUAAUACGAGAGCCCCAAGCGUUAUCCGGAAUUAUUGGGCGUAAAGGGUGCGUAGGCGGUUGUGUUAGUCAUGUGUUAAAGGCCCGAGCUUAACUUGGGACAUGCACGCGAAACGGCACGACUUGAAUGAAGGAGAGGUGUGCGGAACUCAUGGUGUAGGGGUGAAAUCCGUUGAUAUCAUGGGGAACACCAAAUGCGAAAGCAGCACACUGGCCUUUUUGACGCUGAGGCACGAAAGCGUGGGUAGCGAAUGGGAUUAGAUACCCUUGUAGUC
rnacentral:rRNA from 1 species